rnacentral:lncRNA from 1 species
CUCACUUUGAAUCACUGGUUUUUAAAACAAAUUCACAUAAGUAAUAGAUCCAUGCUGUUCUCUGUCUGUAUUAUACAACUUUUAAACAUAAACUGAAAUAAUUUAAUGAGAGGUAAUACAUUUCACAUGAACUGGAAAACGAGUAUUUAUGAGACUUGAACAUAAUUUGUAGUGUAAUACACAGCUUUCUUGGAUAAAUAAACCCUAGUAAAGCUUCAUUCUCUACCUACCAAGCUUUACUUUUCUGCCCACUAAGGGGUACCAUGGCUUUGAUUGCCAUGGUCUUUUGGGGCUUGCCAUAUUCAUGAAUCUUACUAGUACAUUAUUUCAAAAGGUUGUUGAAUGAAGAUUUUGUAAUGACAUUAAAUAACAUUAUGUAAUCUGUAGAAUAUUUUGAAUAUAGCCAAAUUAAAAAUAGUGGACAAUGAUGGUAACUUCUAACUUUAUCUCUUGGAAAGUCUUACCUGUGGCUGAGGAAAC